rnacentral:rRNA from 1 species
UACGUAGGGGGCAAGCGUUGUCCGGAAUUAUUGGGCGUAAAGAGCGCGUAGGCGGUCCGAUAAGUCGGCUGUGAAAGUCAUGGGCUCAACCCAUGAAAGCCGGCCGAUACUGUCGGACUAGAGUCCGGAAGAGGCGAGUGGAAUUCCCGGUGUAGCGGUGAAAUGCGCAGAUAUCGGGAGGAACACCAAUGGCGAAGGCAGCUCGCUGGGACGGUACUGACGCUGAGGCGCGAAAGCGUGGGGAGCGAACAGG